rnacentral:rRNA from 1 species
GACGUAGGGCGCGAGCGUUGUCCGGAUUUAUUGGGCGUAAAGAGCUCGUAGGCGGCUUGUCGCGUCGACUGUGAAAUCCCGCGGCUCAACUGCGGGUCUGCAGUCGAUACGGCAGGCUAGAGUUCGGUAGGGGAGACUGGAAUUCCUGGUGUAGCGGUGAAAUGUGCAGAUAUCAGGAGGAACACCGGUGGCGAAGGCGGGUCUCUGGGCCGAUACUGACGCUGAGGAGCGAAAGCGUGGGGAGCGAACAGG